rnacentral:rRNA from 1 species
AGAGUUUGAUCCUGGCUCAGGAUUAACGCUGGCGGCAUGCCUAAUACAUGCAAGUCGAACGAAGAUACUUAGGUAUCUUAGUGGCGAACGGGUGAGUAACACGUAGGUAACCAACCUAGAAGAUCGGGAUAACAGGGAGAAAUUUCUGCUAAUACCGGAUAAGGAAUAUUAGAGGCAUCUCUGAUAUUUGAAAGGGUCCU